CCCCUCUCAGGGUGGCACCUGGAGAGUUUCCAGUACUCUACCAGUCUUAGCUACAGGAGGGAGAGUCAAGCAGAGGUCUACCCAUUCCAUUCCUACUUGUGCAGUGGCUGGUGAGUGGAAGGCAAUCUACUACAAGU